rnacentral:rRNA from 1 species
GAGUUUGAUCCUGGCUCAGAACAAACGCUGGCGGCGUACUUAACACAUGCAAGUCGAACGAGAAAGGGAGCUUCGGCUCCUGAGUAAAGUGGCGAACGGUUGCGUAACACGUAAGUAAUCUACCCUAGACCCUGGAAUAACUCUCCGAAAGGGGGGCUAAGGCUGGAUAGGGUCCUCGAGGUAUAAGUCGCGAGGGAAAAGCAGGCCUUUACUAAAAGCUUGCGGUUUAAGAUGAGCUUGCGUCCCAUUAGUUGGGUGGUGAGGCAACGGUUCACCAAGACGACAAUGGGUAGCUGGUCUGAGAGGAUGAUCAGUCACACUGGCACUGUGACACGGACCAGACUCCUACGGGAGGCAGCAGUGGGGAAUUUUGCGCAAUGGGCGAAAGCCUGACGCAGUAACGCCGCUUUAAGGACGAAGGCCUUCGGGUUGUAAACUCCUGUCAGGGGGGAAGAAGAACUUGAGACGAGAAUACAUUUUCGAGUUCUGCCGGUACCCCCAAAGGAAGCCCCGGCUAAUUCCGUGCCAGCAGCCGCGGUAAUACGGAAGGGGCUAGCGUUGUUCGGAAUCAUUGGGCGUAAAGGGCGCGUAGGUGGUCUUAUAUGUCCGUCGUGAAAGUGCACGGCUCAACCGUGUUUGGUCGGUGGAAACUGUAAGACUUGAGGCUGGGAGGGGCUGGAGGAAUUCCCUGUGUAGCGGUGAAAUGCGUAGAGAUAGGGGAGAACACUCGUGGCGAAGGCGUCCAGCUGGACCAGUCCUGACACUGAGGCGCGAAAGCGUGGGUAGCAAACAGGAUUAGAUACCCUGGUAGUC